GUGAAGCGGCAAAAGCUCAAAUUUGAAAUCUGGCGUCUUCGACGUCCGAGUUGUAAUUUGAAGAAGGCGACUUUGUAGCUGGUCCUUGUCUAUGUUCCUUGGAACAGGACGUCAUAGAGGGUGAGAAUCCCGUGUGGCGAGGAUCCCAGUUAUUUGUAAAGUGCUUUCGACGAGUCGAGUUGUUUGGGAAUGCAGCUCUAAGUGGGUGGUAAAUUCCAUCUAAAGCUAAAUAUUGGCGAGAGACCGAUAGCGAACAAGUACAGUGAUGGAAAGAUGAAAAGAACUUUGAAAAGAGAGUGAAAAAGUACGUGAAAUUGUUGAAAGGGAAGGGCAUUUGAUCAGACAUGGCGUUUGCUUCGGCUUUCGCUGGGCCAGCAUCAGUUUUAGCGGUUGGAUAAAUCCUCGGGAAUGUGGCUCUGCUUCGGUAGAGUGUUAUAGCCCGUGGGAAUACAGCCAGCUGGGACUGAGGAUUGCGACUUUUGUCAAGGAUGCUGGCGUAAUGGUUAAAUGCCGC
rnacentral:rRNA from 1 species